ensembl:misc_RNA Metazoa_SRP Metazoan signal recognition particle RNA
GCUGGGCAUGGUGGUGCAUGCCUGUAAUCCCAGCUGCUUGGGAGGCUGAGGCAGGAGAAUCACUUGAACCCAGGAGGCUGAGAUUGCAGUGAGCCAAGAUCACACCAUUGCACUCCAGCCUGGGUGACAGUGAGACUCUGUCUCAA